rnacentral:rRNA from 1 species
CUACGGGCGGCAGCAGUGGGGAAUAUUGGACAAUGGGCGCAAGCCUGAUCCAGCCAUGCCGCGUGAGUGAUGAAGGCCCUAGGGUUGUAAAGCUCUUUCACCGGUGAAGAUAAUGACGGUAACCGGAGAAGAAGCCCCGGCUAACUUCGUGCCAGCAGCCGCGGUAAUACGAAGGGGGCUAGCGUUGUUCGGAUUUACUGGGCGUAAAGCGCACGUAGGCGGAUCGUUAAGUGAGGGGUGAAAUCCCGGGGCUCAACCCCGGAACUGCCUCUCAUACUGGCGGUCUUGAGUUCGAGAGAGGUGAGUGGAGUUCCGAGUGUAGAGGUGAAAUUCGUAGAUAUUCGGAGGAACACCAGUGGCGAAGGCGGCUCACUGGCUCGAUACUGACGCUGAGGUGCGAAAGCGUGGGGAGCAAACAGGAUUAGAUACCCCUGUAGUC